GAAGCCUUUCUUUCCCAAGCUGCCCGACAUCCCCUUCUCCUGAAAUGGCCCUUUGAGCUGUUGUUUUUAAUUUCUUUAAAACACUUUAAAAUAAUUCCACAAAGAAUAUAAAUCCCAGAUGUUCUUUCUGUUGGUGAUAAGGUUAGAUUUCUAUCCUCUACCCUAUUUCGUGCUAGUUAGUUAAGUUAAUUGUUAACAAAUAAUACGAAUCAUGUAUUAAAGGUCUUUAUUUAAUGCCUUCAUGUUUAUCAGUGAGUUGGAUCUUUUAAUUUUAGUUGAUUCUAUUAAUAUCUAUUAGUAUUUCUGCAAAUUUUUCAAAAAAAUUUGAGUAGCGGUACGCCACUACCAUUACAUUAUGGCCAUAACAGCCCAUUUUCAUUACACAUGAUCGGGACCAUUACAUAGGCCAUACAAGUAGUCUGACACAUGUAAAAAAACUAAAAGUAUAUUUUGAAAAACCUUGUUUUUCUGCCUUUUUAAACAGCUAACCAUGAUAUUCCCAAAUAAGAAACUGUCAUGCAUUUCUUUCAGACAUCAACUAUUGAAAUGUCAAAUCUCUCUCUUACCAUCUUCUCUGACAAUACCAUCA
rnacentral:misc_RNA from 1 species